rnacentral:rRNA from 1 species
CAGGACGAACGCUGGCGGCGUGCCUAAUACAUGCAAGUCGAACGGUCUUUCUAUGGAAGCUUGCUUCCACUGAGAAGAUAGUGGCGAACGGGUGAGUAACACGUGGGUAACCUGCCCAUAAGAGGGGGAUAACAUCCGGAAACGGGUGCUAAUACCGCAUAGUUUUCUUGAUCGCAUGAUUGAGAAAGGAAAGACGGCCUUUGUGCUGUCGCUUAUGGAUGGACCCGCGGCGUAUUAGUUAGUUGGUGAGGUAACGGCUCACCAAGACGAUGAUACGUAGCCGACCUGAGAGGGUGAUCGGCCACAUUGGGACUGAGACACGGCCCAAACUCCUACGGGAGGCAGCAGUAGGGAAUCUUCCGCAAUGGACGAAAGUCUGACGGAGCAACGCCGCGUGAGUGAAGAAAGGUUUUCGGAUCGUAAAACUCUGUUGUCAGAGAAGAACAAGUUGGAGAGUAACUGCUCCAGCCUUGACGGUAUCUGACCAGAAAGCCACGGCUAACUACGUGCCAGCAGCCGC